UACGGAGGGGGCUAGCGUUGUCCGGAAUUAUUGGGCGUAAAGCGCGCGCAGGCGGUCCCUUAAGUCUGAUGUGAAAGCCCACGGCUCAACCGUGGAGGGUCAUUGGAAACUGGGGGACUUGAGUACAGAAGAGGAAAGCGGAAUUCCACGUGUAGCGGUGAAAUGCGUAGAGAUGUGGAGGAACACCAGUGGCGAAGGCGGCUUUCUGGUCUGUAACUGACGCUGAGGCGCGAAAGCGUGGGGAGCAAACAGG
rnacentral:rRNA from 1 species